rnacentral:rRNA from 1 species
CCAAUAGCGUAUAUUAAAGUUGUUGCAGUUAAAAAGCUCGUAGUUGAAUUUCGGGAUUUAUCCGUCGGUCGGGCUUUUGGGUCUGUACUGGCGUGAUGGAUUCCUACCUUCUGAAUAACCGGCAUGUCAUUAAUUUGGUGCGCCGGGGAAGCAGGACUGUUACCUUGAAAAAAUUAGAGUGCUUAAAGCAGGCUUAUGCCUGAAUACAUUAGCAUGGAAUAAUGAAAUAGGACGGCAUGGUUCUAUUUUGUUGGUUUCUAGGAUCACCGUAAUGAUUAAUAGGGAUAGUUGGGGGCAUUAGUAUUCAAUUGUCAGAGGUGAAAUUCUUGGAUUUAUUGAAGACUAACUUCUGCGAAAGCAUUUGCCAAGGAUGUUUUCAUUAAUCAAGAACGAAAGUUAGGGGAUCGAAGACGAUCAGAUACCGUCGUAGUCUUAACCAUAAACUAUGCCGACUAGGGAUCGGACGAUGUUAAUUUUUUAAUGACUCGUUCGGCGCCUUACG